UACAUGAAGCUGGAAUUGCUAGUAAUCACAGGUCAGCAUACUGUGGUGAAUACGUUCCCGGGCCUUGUACACACCGCCCCGUCACACCAUGAGAGUUGAGAAUACCCGAAGUCCAUGUCAAAGUGGCCGAAGGUAGGCUUGAUGAUUGGGGUGAAGUCGUAACAAGGUAGC
rnacentral:rRNA from 1 species